CACGUAGUUAGCCGUGGCUUAUUCGACAGGUACCGUCUUCUGCUCUUCCCUGUCAAAAGAAGUUUACAACCCGAAAGCCUUCUUCCUUCACGCGGCGUUGCUGGGUCAGACUUGCGCCCAUUGCCCAAUAUUCCCCACUGCUGCCUCCCGUAGGAGUCUGGGCCGUAUCUCAGUCCCAAUGUGGCCGGCCAACCUCUCAGUCCGGCUACUGAUCGUCGCCUUGGUAGGCCGUUACCCUACCAACUAGCUAAUCAGACGCGAGGCCAUCUCUCAGCGAUAAAUCUUUGGUACCAGUACCAUGCGAUACCCGUACGUUAUGCGGUAUUAGCAGUCGUUUACCAACUGUUCGUCCCCCUCUGAAAGGCAGGUUCCUCACGUCGUUACUCCACCCGUCCGACCUACUAAGUACGUCCCUCUCCAUUCGACCGAAAUCCUCUUCGAGGUACUCCGUUCGACUUGCAUUGUAGUUAGCC
rnacentral:rRNA from 1 species